rnacentral:rRNA from 1 species
GACGAACGCUGGCGGCGUGCUUAACACAUGCAAGUCGAACGGAAAGGCCCUGCUUUUGUGGGGUGCUCGAGUGGCGAACGGGUGAGUAACACGUGAGUAACCUGCCCUUGACUUUGGGAUAACUUCAGGAAACUGGGGCUAAUACCGGAUAGGAGCUCCUGCUGCAUGGUGGGGGUUGGAAAGUUUCGGCGGUUGGGGAUGGACUCGCGGCUUAUCAGCUUGUUGGUGGGGUAGUGGCUUACCAAGGCUUUGACGGGUAGCCGGCCUGAGAGGGUGACCGGACCAAUUGGGACGGAGAUACGGCCCAGACUCCUACGGGAGGGAGCAGUGGGGAAUAGUGCACAAUGGGCGGAAGCCUGAUGCAGCAAAGCCGCGUGCGGGAUGACGGCAUUGGGGUUGUAAACCGAUUUCGCCUGUGACGAAGCGUGAGUGACGGUAAUGGGUAAAGAAGCACCGGCUAACUACGUG